rnacentral:rRNA from 1 species
AAUCCAUAGGUUAAUGAGGCGAACCGGGGGAACUGAAACAUCUAAGUACCCCGAGGAAAAGAAAUCAACCGAGAUUCCCCCAGUAGCGGCGAGCGAACGGGGAGGAGCCCAGAGCCUGAAUCAGCAUGUGUGUUAGUGGAAGCGUCUGGAAAGGCGCGCGAUACAGGGUGACAGCCCCGUACACAAAAGCGCAUGUGCUGUGAGCUCGAUGAGUAGGGCGGGACACGUGGUAUCCUGUCUGAAUAUGGGGGGACCAUCCUCCAAGGCUAAAUACUCCUGACUGACCGAUAGUGAACCAGUACCGUGAGGGAAAGGCGAAAAGAACCCCGGCGAGGGGAGUGAAAAAGAACCUGAAACCGUGUACGUACAAGCAGUGGGAGCACAGGUUUACCUGUGUGACUGCGUACCUUUUGUAUAAUGGGUCAGCGACUUAUAUUCUGUAGCAAGGUUAACCGAAUAGGGGAGCCGGAGGGAAACCGAGUCUUAAUUGGGCGUUAAGUUGCAGGGUAUAGACCCGAAACCCGGUGAUCUAGCCAUGGGCAGGUUGAAGGUUGGGUAACACUAACUGGAGGACCGAACCGACUAAUGUUGAAAAAUUAGCGGAUGACCUGUGGCUGGGGGUGAAAGGCCAAUCAAACCGGGAGAUAGCUGGUUCUCCCCGAAAGCUAUUUAGGUAGCGCCUCGUGAAUUCAUCUCCGGGGGUAGAGCACUGUUUCGGCUAGGGGGCCAUCCCGGCUUACCAACCCGAUGCAAACUGCGAAUACCGGAGAAUGUUAUCACGGGAGACACACGGCGGGUGCUAACGUCCGUCGUGAAGAGGGAAACAACCCAGACCGCCAGCUAAGGUCCCAAAGUCAUGGUUAAGUGGGAAACGAUGUGGGAAGGCCCAGACAGCCAGGAUGUUGGCUUAGAAGCAGCCAUCAUUUAAAGAAAGCGUAAUAGCUCACUGGUCGAGUCGGCCUGCGCGGAAGAUGUAACGGGGCUAAACCAUGCACCGAAGCUGCGGCAGCGACACUGUGUGUUGUUGGGUAGGGGAGCGUUCUGUAAGCCUGUGAAGGUGUGUCGUGAGGCAUGCUGGAGGUAUCAGAAGUGCGAAUGCUGACAUAAGUAACGAUAAAGCGGGUGAAAAGCCCGCUCGCCGGAAGACCAAGGGUUCCUGUCCAACGUUAAUCGGGGCAGGGUGAGUCGACCCCUAAGGCGAGGCCGAAAGGCGUAGUCGAUGGGAAACGGGUUAAUAUUCCCGUACUUGGUGUUACUGCGAAGGGGGGACGGAGAAGGCUAUGUUGGCCGGGCGACGGUU